rnacentral:pre_miRNA from 1 species
AAAAUUUGAUUUGCUGCCAAGCUUGAAGGAAAACAAGGGAGACAGGAAAGAGCGCAGUUCCUGUCUCCCUUGUUUCCUUCAAGCUUGUGCAGCAAAUCAAUUUUUAGGUA